rnacentral:rRNA from 1 species
AGAGUUUGAUCCUGGCUCAGAUUGAACGCUGGCGGCAUGCCUUACACAUGCAAGUCGAACGGCAGCGGACCUUCGGGUGCCGGCGAGUGGCGAACGGGUGAGUAAAGUAUCGGAACGUACCUUUCAGUGGGGGAUAACGUAGCGAAAGUUACGCUAAUACCGCAUAUUCUGUGAGCAGGAAAGCAGGGGAUCGCAAGACCUUGCGCUGAUUGAGCGGCCGAUAUCAGAUUAGCUAGUUGGUGGGGUAAAGGCCUACCAAGGCGACGAUCUGUAGCGGGUCUGAGAGGAUGAUCCGCCACACUGGGACUGAGACACGGCCCAGACUCCUACGGGAGGCAGCAGUGGGGAAUUUUGGACAAUGGGCGCAAGCCUGAUCCAGCCAUGCCGCGUGAGUGAAGAAGGCCUUCGGGUUGUAAAGCUCUUUCGGCCGGGAAGAAAUCGCAUGGGCUAAUACCCUGUGUGGAUGACGGUACCGGAAUAAGAAGCACCGGCUAACUACGUGCCAGCAGCCGCGGUAAUACGUAGGGUGCGAGCGUUAAUCGGAAUUACUGGGCGUAAAGCGUGCGCAGGCGGUUUUUUAAGAUAGGCGUGAAAUCCCCGGGCUCAACCUGGGAACUGCGCUUAUGACUGGAAGACUAGAGUAUGGCAGAGGGGGGUGGAAUUCCACGUGUAGCAGUGAAAUGCGUAGAGAUGUGGAGGAACACCGAUGGCGAAGGCAGCCCCCUGGGCCAAUACUGACGCUCAUGCACGAAAGCGUGGGGAGCAAACAGGAUAGAUACCCUGGUAGUCCACGCCCUAAACGAUGUCAACUAGGUGUUGGGUGGGUAAAACCAUUUAGUACCGUAGCUAACGCGUGAAGUUGACCGCCUGGGGAGUACGGCCGCAAGGUUAAAACUCAAAGGAAUUGACGG